rnacentral:pre_miRNA from 1 species
AGACCCUGCUCUUAAGGAGUUCACAUUCUAAUGUUAUUUACAUGAUGUCUCUCCCAUGAGAUUGUGAGCUCCCAGAGAGCAGGGACU